GACGAACGCUGGCGGCGUGCUUAACACAUGCAAGUCGAACGGAAAGGCCCUGCUUUUGUGGGGUGCUCGAGUGGCGAACGGGUGAGUAACACGUGAGUAACCUGCCCUUGACUUUGGGAUAACUUCAGGAAACUGGGGCUAAUACCGGAUAGGAGCUCCUGCUGCAUGGUGGGGGUUGGAAAGUUUCGGCGGUUGGGGAUGGACUCGCGGCUUAUCAGCUUGUUGGUGGGGUAGUGGCUUACCAAGGCUUUGACGGGUAGCCGGCCUGAGAGGGUGACCGGCCAAAGUGGGACUGAGAUACGGCCAAGACUCAUACGGGAGGCAGCAGUGGGGAAUAUUGCACAAUGGGCGGAAGCAUGAUGCAGCAACGCCGCGUGCGGGAUGACGGCCUUCGGGUUGUAAACCGCUUUCGCCUGUGACGAAGCGAGAGUGACGGUAAUGGGUAAAGAAGCACCGGCUAACUACGUG
rnacentral:rRNA from 1 species